rnacentral:rRNA from 1 species
GGGAACGCAGGGGCUGGGGCGGGGGGAGAACGGGGGGGGCAAGCGUGAAUCGGGAGUACGGGGCGGAAAGGGCACGCAGGCGGUCGGUCAAGUCGGAUGGGAAAUCCCCGGGCUCAACCUGGGAACUGCAUUCGAAACUGGCAGGCUAGAGUCUUGUAGAGGGGGGUAGAAUUCCAGGUGUAGCGGUGAAAUGCGUAGAGAUCUGGAGGAAUACCGGUGGCGAAGGCGGCCCCCUGGACAAAGACUGACGCUCAGGUGCGAAAGCAUGGGGAGCAAACAGGAUUAGAUACCCCAGUAGUC